UACGGAGGGUGCAAGCGUUAUCCGGAUUCACUGGGUUUAAAGGGUGCGUAGGCGGAUUAGAAAGUCCGUUGUGAAAUCUCUGAGCUUAACUCGGAAAUUGCGGUGGAUACUAUUAGUCUUGAAUACUGUGGAGGUUAGCGGAAUAUGUCAUGUAGCGGUGAAAUGCAUAGAUAUGACAUAGAACACCAAUUGCGAAGGCAGCUGGCUAGACAGAUAUUGACGCUGAGGCACGAAAGCGUGGGGAUCAAACAGG
rnacentral:rRNA from 1 species